AUGUCGGAAUUCGACUGUGAGGAAGGAACGAUGGAAGUGAAAUUUAGGGCCAGUUUAAAGGACCCAUCUGUUAAAGUUCCUGUUAAAAUUGAUUUCAAGAAGAUUCAGGAGGAUAUUUUUCAAGAAUAUGCUUUGAUUGCCCGGUCCAUGCCAAAUGAUAUAAUCACCCAAGAUCCUACUCCUAAGUCGCUACACGCGGUCUUCUAUGAGCUAUCUCCCCAAUUGUGGCCCAUCUUAGAGAAGGAUAGCGUCCGGUGCUUACUCAACUUUUUGGUGAGCAAGCGGGGUAUGGCAUAUAAACAUACCAUCACCUCACAAACCUUAACUUACAUGAUCAGUUAUGAUGCCCUACGAUGUGCAAAAGUUAUAUUGGAGGGCAAGGCACCAAGGCUCAAUGGACACCAUGCCAAUCCCAACUGCAUUAACCCAUAUGGAUACUUCCCGCUCCAUGAAGCUGCCGAAAGGUUUUCUGUUGACAUGAUCAAGUUACUCUUUCGUCAUGGUGCAUCAGCCAAUGUACGCACAGUCGGGGAUAACAUCAUUGAGAACCUACUCCCACUCCAUGUUGCGGUCGAAAAUACUUGCCUGCAUAAGUAUUUGGAGGAUAAUUUAUUUCCAUACCAGAACCAUCGGGAUUAUAUCUACAAGAUUAUCCAUCUGCUAUGCAUGCCUGAAAUGAAAAUCUUUUUGGAUACGGUUAGACUGCUAGCAGAAAGAACAGAUAAUCUAGUUGAUGAGAUAUGGAAUUACGUGAAGGAUGGAAAACUUGUUCAGUCUGCAGUUUUGCUUCUGUCAGCUCAAGCGCAAAUCCGUGGGGGCUGUUCCUCCAAACGCAACGGCAAUAAUAAGCGUGAUGGGUUUGAUAUUAUCAUGUGCCAUAUAGUGAGACAUUUGGUUACCCUAAGAUCGGAGAACAAAAAUACAAAUACACGGAAGCUGCGUGAGGAAGAGAGAAUAUUUAUGGAGUUUACGGGCCUGCUUGUUGAUAUUGUUUCCCAAGCUGGUGAAGCCCUUUCUGCAUACAUUCAGGCACAUUCAAAGGUGCCCCACGUGGAGGUUCUGGAGCGAGUUUCUUCUAUCCUCAAGGAGUAUGGGUUUUGCCCAACUGGAGAAAUCGUUGAUGUUAAGAACCUCUGCCCUUACAACUGCUGCGUAAUGUCUGAUGAAGAGUUAUACCACCAAGGGCUUAUGAAUUCAACCAAGGGAGUUACAGGAACAGAUAAUCCGUGUGCUACAAUGGAAGAAGUACAUGCUGCGGAAAAGUAUCUGCCUAAAGGAUGGGAUAACACAUUCACAAGGAGAAAGUUCUUCCCAUAUUGGAGAUCAGUGCUACAGGCCCGGGCUUUUCUGCGGGUGUACCCAUCAUAUGCAACAGCAGAUGCCAGUCGACCUACUGUGCCUACUCCAGUUCCAGGCCAUAAGCUUCCCUCGCUGGGAAAAGCUCCACAACUGUUAAGCAAUCGUCAAUCCAGAAGACUUUUUGGUACUGGCGCAUCCGCGGCUAGGUCUGCACUUGGUUAUGAAGAGCUCCGCCGCUCCCGGGGUAGCUCAAUGGACAGCACUCCAAGUCAAAUUCACAACCUUUCACUGCUGGUAGGAGUUGCACAAGUAACAAAUGAUCAUGGUCAAUCUAGAAGACUCUUUGGUACUGCUGCGUCCAUCCUCCUGAAGGUGGCAACUAAAGUGUUGCUGGUGCGAGCAGUCAUUCAGUGCAUUUUUCUCCUAGAUGGGAAGAUGAGGCUGCUGGUACACUGUAUGGCCGCCUGGUGA
rnacentral:rRNA from 1 species